UGCCUAGACAACAUUUCCGUCCCUUUAUGAUAUUGUCGUGUUUUUGAAAAUGAUUACUGUCUCUGAUUGUCGAUGAUAGCAGUUGAUAAUUGGGUGACAGAAAUGCUCGACGACAAGGUGAUCAAUCAAACCGUUUGAACUUUGAGGAGGAGUGAUAAGGAGUAGUUAACUGAUCUCCGCCUGCCUGGCGGAUGUCAACCAUGUUUCUCCCGAGGUCUAAUCACCUAAUUAAGACAAAUUGAAGUAUACACUCGAGACUUUUUUCUUCGUUUA
ensembl:ncRNA F08C6.10 ncRNA